rfam:Trichomonas vaginalis G3, whole genome shotgun sequence.
AGGGUUUCUGUCGAUCAAGGGCGAGAGUAGGAGUAUCCAACAGGAUUAGAGACCCUGGUAGUUCCUACCUUAAACGAUGCCGACAGGAGUUUGUCAUUUGUUAAUGGCAGAAUCUUUGGAGAAAUCAUAGUUCUUGGGCUCUGGGGGAACUACGACCGCAAGGCUGAAACUUGAAGGAAUUGACGGAAGGGCACACCAGGGGUGGAGCCUGUGGCUUAAUUUGAAUCAACACGAGGGAAACUUACCAGGACCAGAUGUUUUUUAUGACUGACAGGCUUCGGGUCUUUCAGGAUAUUGUUUUUGGUGGUGCAUGGCCGUUGGUGGUGCGUGGGUUGACCUGUCUAGCGUUGAUUCAGCUAACGAGCGAGAUUAUCGCCAAUUAUUUACUUUGCCGAAGUCCUUCGGUUAAAGUUCUAAUUGGGACUCCCUGCGAUUUUAGCAGGUGGAAGAGGGUAGCAAUAACAGGUCCGUGAUGCCCUUUAGAUGCUCUGGGCUGCACGCGUGCUACAAUGUUAGGAUCAAUAGGACUGCGAGCCUGAGAGGGUGCGCUACUCUUAUAAUCCCUAACGUAGUUGGGAUUGACGUUUGUAAUCAGCGUCAUGAACCAGGAAUCCCUUGUAAAUGUGUGUCAACAACGCACGUUGAAUACGUCCCUGCCCUUUGUACACACCGCCCGUCGCUCCUACCGAUUGGAUGACUCGGUGAAAUCACCGGAUGCUUACGAGCAGAAAGUGAUUAAAUCACGUUAUCUAGAGGAAGGAGAAGUCGUAACAAGGUAACGGUAGGUGAACCUGCCGUUGGAUCAGUU